rnacentral:rRNA from 1 species
UUAAGCAAGAAAGGGCUUACGGUGGAUACCUUGGUAUCUGGAGCCGAUGAAGGACGUGCAAGGCUGCGAAAAGCCACGGGGAGCUGCCAAGAAGUGUAGAUCCGUGGAUAUCCGAAUGGGUUAACCCGGCGGUCGGGAGGGCCGUCAUCAUAUAGUGAACACAUAGCUAUAUGAGGGGAACCGGGGGAACUGAAACAUCUUAGUACCCCGAGGAGAAGAAAUCAAGCGAGAUUCCCUAAGUAGUGGCGAGCGAACGGGGAAGAGCCUAAACACAUACAAUGCCAAGGCUACAGCCGUUGUUGUAUGUGGGUUUGGGAUAUACCUGGUGCAGCUGUAGGAGCACAAGGGUAGUUUAACCUCUAGCCGAAUGGACUGGGAAGUCCAGCCAUAGAGAGUAAGAGCCUCGUAGGCGAAAGGGGAAGGACGCCCUGGUAUAUCCAGAGUAGCACGAGACACGUGGAACCUCGUGUGAAGACGGGAGGACCAUCUUCCAAGGCUAAAUACUCCCAGAUAACCGAUAGAGGAAAGUACCGUGAGGGAAAGGUGAAAAGAACCCCGGGAGGGGAGUGAAAUAGAAUUUGAAACCGUAGGCCUACAAGCAGUUGGAGGACUAUUAAAAAGUCUGACAGCGUACUUUUUGUAGAACGGACCGGCGAGUUAUUCAUUGUAGCGUAAGGUUAAGCCGCAAGAGGUGAAGCCAAAGCGAAAGCGAGUCUGAACAGGGCGCAAGUUACAGUGAAUAGACCCGAAACCAGGUGAUCUACCCAUGGCCAGGGUGAAGCGGGUGUAAGAGCCCGUGGAGGCCCGAACCAGGUGAUGUUGAAAAAUCAUUGGAUGAGCUGUGGGUAGGGGUGAAAAGCCAAUCGAACCUGGAGAUAGCUGGUUCUCCUCGAAAUAGCUUUAGGGCUAGCCUCAAGGCAAAAGUCAAAGGCGGUAGAGCACUGAUUGGGCUAGGGGCCCCAUAAGGUUACCGAACCCAUUCAAACUCCGAAUGCUGGCGACUAAGGUCUUGGGAGUCAGACUGCGUGGGAUAAGCUUCGUAGUCGAGAGGGAAAGAGCCCAGACCACCAGCUAAGGUCCCCAAGUACAGACUAAGUGGGAAAGGAAGUGAGGUCGCACAGACAACCAGGAUGUUGGCUUAGAAGCAGCCACUCAUUUAAAGAGUGCGUAAUAGCUCACUGGUCGAGCGGCCUUGCGCCGAAAAUGUAACGGGGCUAAAGUCUGUCACCGAAGCUGUGGAUCGUUGAGUGGUUCACGGAGACUAUUGUAUAGGAGUUAGAAUUUAGUCAAAAGCAACAUUAAAGGAAAGAUGAAGAAGCUUUUGACCAAAUGACACUCUGCUAAAGUCAAAAGACAUAAGCAGUGGUCUGCGUGAACUACUCAACGAUGGUAGAGGAGCGUUCUGUGCUGGGCGAAGCUGUACCGAAAGGAGCAGUGGACGGCACAGAAGUGAGAAUGCCGGUAUGAGUAACGAUAAGAGGGGUGAGAAUCCCCUCCGCCGAAAGUCUAAGGUUUCCUGGGGAAGGUUCGUCCGCCCAGGGUAAGCCGGGACCUAAGCCGAGGCCGAAAGGCGUAGGCGAUGGAUAAUCGGUAGAGAUUCCGAUGCCACUAUUAAUCGUUUGAGUGAAGUGGGGACGCAGCAAGGGAGGCGAGCACGCGACUGGAGGAGCGUGUAUAAGCUAAGGGUAGGAUAGAGGAGGCAAAUCCCCUUUAUCAUAACUAUCUAAAGUGAUAUGGAGCCAAUUUAGGCGAAGUCGUCAAACAAGCUGCCAAGAAAAGCCGCUAGCGAGAUUAAUAGUGCCCGUACCGCAAACCGACACAGGUAGACGGGAAGAGAAUUCCAAGGCGCGCGAGAGAACCCUUGUUAAGGAACUCGGCAAAAUGACCCCGUAACUUAGGGAGAAGGGGUGCCCGGGGGGGUGAAUAGCCUCCCUGGGCCGCAGUGACCAGGCCCAAGCGACUGUUUAGCAAAAACACAGGUCUCUGCUAAGUCGUAAGACGAAGUAUAGGGGCUGACGCCUGCCCGGUGCUGGAAGGUUAAGGGGAAAGCUUAGCGCAAGCGAAGGUUUGAACCUAAGCCCCAGUAAACGGCGGCCGUAACUAUAACGGUCCUAAGGUAGCGAAAUUCCUUGUCGGGUAAGUUCCGACCNNNNNNNNNNNCUAUAACGGUCCUAAGGUAGCGAAAUUCCUUGUCGGGUAAGUUCCGACCUGCACGAAUGGCGUAACGACUUGGGCACUGUCUCAACAAGGGACUCGGUGAAAUUGUAGUACCAGUAAAGAUGCUGGUUACCUGCGACAGGACGGAAAGACCCCGUGGAGCUUUACUGUAGCCUGAUAUUGGGUUUUGUUUCAGAAUGUACAGGAUAGGUGGGAGGCGGAGAAGUUGGUGCGCCAGCAUCAACAGAGCCGCAAGUGGGAUACCACCCUUUCUGGAGCGGAAUUCUAACCAGAGGCCGUGAACCGGUCAUGGGACAUUGUCAGGUGGGCAGUUUGACUGGGGCGGUCGCCUCCUAAAAGGUAACGGAGGGUCGCCUCCUAAAAGGUAACGGAGGCGCCCAAAGGUUCCCUCAGUGCGGAUGGAAAUCGCAUGGAGAGUGUAAAGGCAGAAGGGAGCUUAACUGUGAGACAGACAUGUCGAGCAGGUACGAAAGUAGGGCUUAGUGAUCCGGCGGUAUCGAAUGGAAGAGCCGUCGCUCAACGGAUAAAAGUUACCCCGGGGAUAACAGGCUUAUCUCCCCCAAGAGUUCACAUCGACGGGGAGGUUUGGCACC